AAUGAACGCUGGCGGCAUGCCUUACACAUGCAAGUCGAACGGCAGCAUGACCUAGCUUGCUAGGUUGAUGGCGAGUGGCGAACGGGUGAGUAAUGCAUCGGAACGUGCCUUUUAGUGGGGGAUAACGUAGCGAAAGUUACGCUAAUACCGCAUAUUCUCUGAGGAGGAAAGCAGGGGACCUUCGGGCCUUGCGCUAGAAGAGCGGCCGAUGUCGGAUUAGCUAGUUGGUGAGGUAAAGGCUCACCAAGGCAACGAUCCGUAGCGGGUCUGAGAGGAUGAUCCGCCACACUGGGACUGAGACACGGCCCAGACUCCUACGGGAGGCAGCAGUGGGGAAUUUUGGACAAUGGGCGCAAGCCUGAUCCAGCCAUGCCGCGUGAGUGAAGAAGGCCUACGGGUUGUAAAGCUCUUUCGGCUGGGAAGAAAUCGCACCCUCUAAUACAGGGUGUGGAUGACGGUACCAGCAUAAGAAGCACCGGCUAACUACGUG
rnacentral:rRNA from 1 species